rnacentral:rRNA from 1 species
GAUGAACGCUGGCGGCGUGCCUAAUACAUGCAAGUCGAGCGAACGGACGAGAAGCUUGCUUCUCUGAUGUUAGCGGCGGACGAGUGAGUAACACGUGGAUAACCUACCUAUAAGACUGGGAUAACUUCGGGAAACCGGAGCUAAUACCGGAUGAUAUUUUGAACCGCAUGGUUCAAAAGUGAAAGACGGUCUUGCUGUCACUUAUAGAUGGAUCCGCGCUGCAUUAGCUAGUUGGUAAGGUAACGGCUUACCAAGGCAACGAUGCAUAGCCGACCUGAGAGGGUGAUCGGCCACACUGGAACUGAGACAAGGUCCAGACUCCUACGGGAGGCAGCAGUAGGGAAUCUUCCGCAAUGGGCGAAAGCCUGACGGAGCAACGCCGCGUGAGUGAUGAAGGUCUUCGGAUCGUAAAACUCUGUUAUUAGGGAAGAACAUAUGUGUAAGUAACUGUGCACAUCUUGACGGUACCUAAUCAGAAAGCCACGGCUAACUACGUG